GUAAAGUUACUAAGGUAUAUAGAAAUAGAGAACAAUGUGCUAUUUUUUGAUAAGGGUCUAGUAAUGCGGGCUUAAUGCUUGAUGAUUCAAACACUCCUUUCUUUAUUUUUUUACUGUUUAUUUUUAUUGUUACUGAACUUUUUCCUUCAGUUUCCUCUGCUGUGGUGCUAUAUGAAUAAGAAGAGAUGUGAAAUACAUGUAUAUAUUAAACUCGGGGCUUAACCUGGCUUUCAGAGUUGCUAAAAUUCAUUUUCCCAGUCAAAUAAGAAGUGCUAAUCUGUGGAGCACAUACCAGUCAUACUUUUUGUUUGCUUCUUCUUAAUAGAAGGGAUAUUUAAAAAUCUUUCUCUUUCUUUUAUCCUUGAUGGAGUCGUGAAGCUAAAUGUGGCAUUGUCUACACAAGGUAGCAGCUUCUGAUUUUACACGUGAAAUGCUUCAGAACUGAACGACUUGGCAGCAGUCGCAGAGCCUGCCUGUGACGGAAUCCAGGCAUGCAAGUACCCAGGAUUGCAAACUCUCUCUGUGAAGUCUCAUGGUGGAGGUGCAAGUGUGGCGUAGCUAUUGAUGUACAGAUGAAUUGGGAAAAUAAUGGCAACAAAACCAGUAAAAUGCACCAUACAAAACCAGAAGAUUUUAGUUGAUACAGUGGCAGAGAAACUUUGCCAAAAGCUUUGAAAUGGACAAAACACAAAAAUCACUGAGUGUCCUGGUAGUACACCUUUCCUGAUUAUCUGAUUUUAUCUGGUCCUGGUCCAUUUAUCCUAUAUUUGACUAAUAUAUGUAAUAUAUAUUAAUAUAUAUUAAUAUAGAUGAUUCUUUUUUUUUAAAGAUUUUAUUUAUUUAUGAGAACACACAGAGAGGAUUGAGAGAGAGAGGCAGAGAGAGAAGCAGGCUCCAUGCAGGGAGCCCGACGUGGGACUCGAUCCCGGGUCUCCAGGAUCACGACCUGGGCUGAAGGCGGCACUAAAACACUGAGCCACCCGGGCUGCCUGUAGAUGAUUCUUAAACAUAGAAAUGAAGAUGAGUUUGGUCCAGUAAAGUUCAACUGAUCAUUGCCCUGUGCAUAUUUAUCAAAUUUAGAUCUAUUUGUAAAUUCAUUUCAUCAUUCUUGAUUGCUAUAUAUGUGUGAGUAGUUUGAAUUCUUCUUUGAACCAUUUGUAAUAUCUUACAGUAUUUUUAUUAGUUAAUGACUUAAUAAAAUAUUUGGCACAUAUUCA
rnacentral:lncRNA from 12 species